rnacentral:sRNA from 1 species
GCCAGGCGUGGUGUUGCACGCCUGUAAUCCAAGGCUUGAGAGGCAGAGGCAGGAGGAUUGUGAGUUCAAAGCCAGCCUCAGCAACAGUGAGGCUCACUAAGCAACUCAGUGAGACCCUGUCUCUA